UGGGGAAUAUUGCACAAUGGGCGCAAGCCUGAUGCAGCCAUGCCGCGUGUGUGAAGAAGGCCUUCGGGUUGUAAAGCACUUUCAGCGAGGAGGAAGGUGGUGGACUUAAUACGUUCAUCAAUUGACGUUACUCGCAGAAGAAGCACCGGCUAACUCCGUGCCAGCAGCCGCGGUAAUACGGAGGGUGCAAGCGUUAAUCGGAAUUACUGGGCGUAAAGCGCACGCAGGCGGUUUGUUAAGUCAGAUGUGAAAUCCCCGGGCUCAACCUGGGAACUGCAUUUGAAACUGGCAAGCUGGAGUCUCGUAGAGGGGGGUAGAAUUCCAGGUGUAGCGGUGAAAUGCGUAGAGAUCUGGAGGAAUACCGGUGGCGAAGGCGGCCCCCCUGGACGAAGACUGACGCUCAGGUGCGAAAGCGUGGGGAGCAAACAGGAUUAGAUACCCUAGUAGUCCACGCUGUAAACGAUGUCGAUUUGGGGGUUGUG
rnacentral:rRNA from 1 species